AUUGAACGCUGGCGGCAUGCUUUACACAUGCAAGUCGAGCGGCAGCGCGGGGGCAACCCUGGCGGCGAGCGGCGAACGGGUGAGUAAUGCAUCGGAACGUGUCCCGUAGUGGGGGAUAACCCGGCGAAAGCCGGGCUAAUACCGCAUAUGCUCUACGGAGGAAAGGGGGGAUCCGCAAGGACCUCUCGCUAUGGGAGCGGCCGAUGUCCGAUUAGCUUGUUGGUGGGGUAAUGGCUUACCAAGGCGACGAUCGGUAGCUGGUCUGAGAGGAUGAUCAGCCACACUGGGACUGAGACACGGCCCAGACUCCUACGGGAGGCAGCAGUGGGGAAUUUUGGACAAUGGGGGCAACCCUGAUCCAGCCAUGCCGCGUGCGGGAAGAA
rnacentral:rRNA from 1 species